GGAUGUGAGGGCAAUCUGUCUGCGACAUCUGUCACCCCAUUGAUUGCCAGGGUUGAUUCAGCUGAUCUGACUGGCUAGGUGGGUUUCCCCUUCCUUCCUCACCACUCCAUGUGUGUCCCUCCCAAAGCUGCAUGGCCAAUCAAAGAGGACAACUUUCCUCAAUAGAAACAUACUGUUCAGUGGUCAGGGGUAUACAGUAGCUGUGCUCCUCUGCUAGAACCUCCAAACAAGCUCAAGGUCCAUUUGUAGGAGAACAUAAGAUAGUCAAGCUUCCAAAACUGCAGACACAUCCAAGCGAGGCACUGUAUGGGUGGUUAGGCAUU
rnacentral:snRNA from 1 species